rnacentral:rRNA from 1 species
CCCAGACUCCUACGGGAGGCAGCAGUGGGGAAUAUUGCACAAUGGGGGAAACCCUGAUGCAGCAACGCCGCGUGAGUGAAGAAGUAUUUCGGUAUGUAAAGCUCUAUCAGCAGGGAAGAAAAAAGACGGUACCUGACUAAGAAGCCCCGGCUAACUACGUGCCAGCAGCCGCGGUAAUACGUAGGGGGCAAGCGUUAUCCGGAUUUACUGGGUGUAAAGGGAGCGUAGACGGCAAUACAAGUCGGAAGUGAAAUACCCGGGCUUAACCUGGGAACUGCUUUGGAAACUGUAUGGCUGGAGUGCUGGAGAGGUAAGCGGAAUUCCUAGUGUAGCGGUGAAAUGCGUAGAUAUUAGGAGGAACACCAGUGGCGAAGGCGGCUUGCUGGACGAUCACUGACGCUGAGGCUCGAAAGCGUGGGGAGCAAACAGGAUUAGAUACCCCAGUA